rnacentral:rRNA from 1 species
AGUGAACGCUGGCGGUAGGCCUAACACAUGCAAGUCGAACGGCAGCACAGUAAGAGCUUGCUCUUACGGGUGGCGAGUGGCGGACGGGUGAGGAAUACAUCGGAAUCUACUUUUUCGUGGGGGAUAACGUAGGGAAACUUACGCUAAUACCGCAUACGACCUACGGGUGAAAGCAGGGGAUCUUCGGACCUUGCGCGAUUGAAUGAGCCGAUGUCGGAUUAGCUAGUUGGCGGGGUAAAGACCCACCAAGGCGACGAUCCGUAGCUGGUCUGAGAGGAUGAUCGGCCACACUGGAACUGAACCACGGUCCAGACUCCUACGGGAGGCAGCAGUGGGGAAUAUUGGACAAUGGGCGCAAGCCUGAUCCAGCCAUACCGCGUGGGUGAAGAAGGCCUUCGGGUUGUAAAGCCCUUUCGUUGGGAAAGAAAAGCAGCAGGUUAAUACCCCGCUGUUCUGACGGUACCCAAAGAAUAAGCACCGGCUAACUUCGUG